GCUACAGGCUUAACACAUGCAAGUCGAGGGGCAUCAGGAAGAAAGCUUGCUUUCUUUGCUGGCGACCGGCGCACGGGUGAGUAACACGUAUCCAACCUGCCCUUUACUCGGGGAUAGCCUUUCGAAAGAAAGAUUAAUACCCGAUAGCAUAAUGAUUCCGCAUGGUUUCAUUAUUAAAGGAUUCCGGUAAAGGAUGGGGAUGCGUUCCAUUAGGUUGUUGGUGAGGUAACGGCCCACCAAGCCUUCGAUGGAUAGGGGUUCUGAGAGGAAGGUCCCCCACAUUGGAACUGAGACACGGUCCAAACUCCUACGGGAGGCAGCAGUGAGGAAUAUUGGUCAAUGGGCGCUAGCCUGAACCAGCCAAGUAGCGUGAAGGAUGAAGGCUCUAUGGGUCGUAAACUUCUUUUAUAUAAGAAUAAAGUGCAGUAUGUAUACUGUUUUGUAUGUAUUAUAUGAAUAAGGAUCGGCUAACUCCGUGCCAGCAGCCGCGGUAAUACGGAGGAUCCGAGCGUUAUCCGGAUUUAUUGGGUUUAAAGGGAGCGUAGGUGGACUGGUAAGUCAGUUGUGAAAGUUUGCGGCUCAACCGUAAAAUUGCAGUUGAUACUGUCAGUCUUGAGUACAGUAGAGGUGGGCGGAAUUCGUGGUGUAGCGGUGAAAUGCUUAGAUAUCACGAAGAACUCCGAUUGCGAAGGCAGCUCACUGGACUGCAACUGACACUGAUGCUCGAAAGUGUGGGUAUCAAACAGGAUUAGAUACCCUGGUAGUCCACACAGUAAACGAUGAAUACUCGCUGUUUGCGAUAUACAGUAAGCGGCCAAGCGAAAGCAUUAAGUAUUCCACCUGGGGAGUACGCCGGCAACGGUGAAACUCAAAGGAAUUGACGGGGGCCCGCACAAGCGGAGGAACAUGUGGUUUAAUUCGAUGAUACGCGAGGAACCUUACCCGGGCUUAAAUUGCAGUGGAAUGAUGUGGAAACAUGUCAGUGAGCAAUCACCGCUGUGAAGGUGCUGCAUGGUUGUCGUCAGCUCGUGCCGUGAGGUGUCGGCUUAAGUGCCAUAACGAGCGCAACCCUUAUCUUCAGUUACUAACAGGUCAUGCUGAGGACUCUGGAGAGACUGCCGUCGUAAGAUGUGAGGAAGGUGGGGAUGACGUCAAAUCAGCACGGCCCUUACGUCCGGGGCUACACACGUGUUACAAUGGGGGGUACAGAAGGCAGCUAGCGGGUGACCGUAUGCUAAUCCCAAAAGCCUCUCUCAGUUCGGAUCGAAGUCUGCAACCCGACUUCGUGAAGCUGGAUUCGCUAGUAAUCGCGCAUCAGCCACGGCGCGGUGAAUACGUUCCCGGGCCUUGUACACACCGCCCGUCAAGCCAUGGGAGCCGGGGGUACCUGAAGUACGUAACCGCAAGGAUCGUCCUAGGGUAAAACUGGUGACUGGGGCUAAGUCA
rnacentral:rRNA from 1 species